rnacentral:rRNA from 1 species
UACAGAGGGUGCGAGCGUUAAUCGGAAUUACUGGGCGUAAAGCGUGCGUAGACGGUUGUUUAAGUCAGAUGUGAAAGCCCCGGGCUCAACCUGGGAAUUGCAUUUGAGACUGAAUAGCUAGGGUGCGGAAGAGGGAAGCGGAAUUUCCGGUGUAGCAGUGAAAUGCGUAGAUAUCGGAAGGAACAUCAGUGGCGAAAGCGGCUUCCUGGUCCAGUACCGACGUCAGGCACGAAAGCGUGGGGAGCAAACAGGA